rnacentral:lncRNA from 1 species
UUGCUGUGUCCCUUUUCUCUUUUCAGAUCCUUUUUACUGGGCCUGGUUGCCACAGGCGAAAGUCCCAUUCUCUCAGGAGAUCAAAGAUUUGAUUCUUCCAAAGAUUUCAGACCCUAACUUCGUCAAGGACUUGGAGGAGGACCUAUAUGAACUCUUCAAGAAAGAUCCUGGUUUCGACAGGGGCCAGUUCCAUAAGCAGAUUGCUGUCAUGAGAGGUCAGAUCCUAAAUUUGACCCAGGCCCUAAAAGACAAUAAGAGUCCCCUGCACCUCGUCCAGAUGCCACCCGUGAUUGUUGAGACGGCCCGUUCUCAUCAGCGGUCUUCAAGUGAAUCCUACACACAGAGCUUCCAGAGUCGGAAGCCCUUCUUUUCAUGGUGGUAGCCCAGAGGCAGGCAGGCAGAAGAAAUCCUGCAGGUGACAGGCUGGGAGAAAGCCUGGAGACCCAGGUUCCAGGAAGCCAGAGAAGCUGGUGCACAGCAGAGCCUUUCAGAGCCCUUCCUCUUUGCUUGCCACCUCCCUCAGGGCUUUCCUACCGACCGGGAGAAGCACAAUCAGGGACAGAGUGCUCCUGGACCUUCAGAGUAUUGGGGAGGCUGAUGUCCAGGCAAGGAGCCCAGGUGGCUGAGAGGAGCAGCUCCCUCCUAGCAUCUGGUGGCUGGCUGGGAAAGUCCCAUCUCUCCCUGACAACCCUCUCCACCCAGGUUCCCUAAUAUAUUCUGCAUCAGAAAAAAAACAAAAACAAAUUUAAAUACUUAUAGGAAAACCCAUAUUAAUCCUCUGACAUCAGAAGCCCUUAACCUAGAACCUAAAUUCGCUCAGACACAGGCGCCCUGAUACCUAGCAGUUGUUACUCCAUGAACUGAGCUGUCAGAAGCCCAUCGCUGGCCCAGAGACAGAAGCCAUUCCUUUCUGGUUUUGCCAAAUUGACCCUCCUCUUGCCACACUGGUACUGACUUCUUGUGGCAAUGAGCAGGUUUGUGUUCUGCAUCUCUAAGAGGCUCUGCACACAGCCCUUUUCUCUGCCCUGCUGUAACUUGCCCGGCACUGAGCUGAAGUGGGCAAGGCUAGCCUUGGCAGUUGUGUUCUGCUAGGAGUGGUUGUGUAACACGGAGAUAACUGACUUAGCCUACUUGCAUGCUGGGUGCUAGGAGGGUUCUAUGGGGAGCCUGGCACAGCCUCACUCCUGGUCCUUAGUUUCAUCCUAUCCUAUGUUUCUGUUACUCUAUUUUCCCCAUUCUUAAGUGAGGAGUUCAGUUUGAAUUCUCGAGUGGCUCUCAGCAGGGAUGUGGGUCAGUAGGUUCAUGAGCAGCCAGGACAGCAUCUCUGUUCUUCAUGUGUCACUGCUGCCUGGAAAAACAGGACCUGUGUUCUGCCUCCUAACUGCCAUGCCCCUUGGCUCCCUGCCUUCUUGUCCUGGGCUGGUUUCUGCUCAGCUUCUUGAAGAGAGGCCUUCAAACAGUCCCCCAGUGCCUGCCCAGCUCAAUGUGCAUCUUCCUGCUUCCCUGUCUUCUCCCUUGCCAGGUGUUUGAACCCUUUCUACACCAAAGCAAAGAAUUGACGUCAGGAGGGAGAGAAAGGGGGCCGCGUGUGGCUGAGAGGCAGCAGAAGUGUUUACACCCUAUGCUGGGGACCCUUGAGCAUUCUCACACACUGCAAUUGGUCAGUCAGCCUUGGAAAGAAACGUCCUGAAGGCCUGAAAAAACCAAAGAACAGGAGUGAGGAGCACAGCUGUGCCUGCCUCAACUGCUUGCCUGAAUCCCAUCGCCCAAAGGCAGGGCAGAAGACACAGCCUUCCAUCAGGUGGAGCAGACUGCUCCCUGUCCAUUCCAACCCAGGAGCCAGCUUGCUCUGGGCUUCCACUCAGCACCAUGAAUCUCUGAGCACUGGCUAUGCAUGCCCUGUGGACAAAGUCACUGUUGUUUGCCCGACUUGACAAUCCCAUCCAGCCCAUGUGGACUCUGGCCUCAGAACCACGUUUGAGAGAAUCCCUGCCUCCUCCUCCUCACAGGAGCCAG